UACAGAGGGGGCAAGCGUUGUUCGGAAUUACUGGGCGUAAAGGGCGCGUAGGCGGCCCGUUAAGUCGAACGUGAAAUCCCCAGGCUCAACCUGGGAACUGCGUCCGAUACUGGCGGGCUUGAAUCCGGGAGAGGGAUGCGGAAUUCCAGGUGUAGCGGUGAAAUGCGUAGAUAUCGGAAGGAACAUCAGUGGCGAAAGCGACUUCCUGGUCCAGCAUCGACGUUCAGGCACGAAAGCGUGGGGAGCAAACAGG
rnacentral:rRNA from 1 species